rnacentral:rRNA from 1 species
GAUGAACGCUGGCGGCGUGCCUAAUACAUGCAAGUCGAGCGAACAGGUGAUGAGCUUGCUCCGCGGACGUUAGCGGCGGACGUGUGAGUCACGCGUGUAUAAUCUCCCUAUCAUUCUGGGAUAACUUCGAGAAUCCGGAUCUUAUAGCGUAGAAUAUAUUGCACCGCAGUGUGCGAUGGUAAGAUACGGUGUUUCUGUCUGGUAUCGCUGGUUACGCGCUGCAUUAGCUAGUUGGGAGGGUAACAGCUUACCACGGGAACGAUGCGUAGGCGAACGGAGAGGGUGAUCGGCCACACUGGAAGUGAGACACGGUCCAGACUACUACGGGAGGGAGCAGUAGGGAAUCUUCCGCAGUGGGCGGAAGCCUGACGGAGCAACGCCGCGUGAGUGAUAGCGGUCUUCGGAUCGUAAAACUCUGUUAUUAGGGGAGAACAAAUGUGUAAGUAACUAUACACGUAUUGACGGUACCUAGUCAGAAAGCAACGGCUAACUACGUG